CUUUCACACGUGCUAGGUUCUUGCAGCGCAGGGGAACUCAGUGGGUGCCAUAGCCCCUGCACCUGACAGAGCAUUUGGGAGCCUCCCAGGAGCCCACGGACACAGCCUAACAAUGGGAGAGGCUGAGACCCAGUCCUGGGAGCUGUGGUGGCUGCCACGGUCAGCUCUGGCACUGGCCUGUCUCGCAGCAGAUGCCCCUCCCUCUGCCCACCUUGGCUGGAGCAUCAGCGAGACCGAACUCCGGGACUGUGAGUGUGGGUGGCCGGGAGCCUCCAGCAGGGACCCAGGUACUUUUUCUGGCUGCCCAAUACCAC
rnacentral:lncRNA from 1 species